GACGAACGCUGGCGGCGUGCUUAACACAUGCAAGUCGAACGGAAAGGCCCUGCUUUUGUGGGGUGCUCGAGUGGCGAACGGGUGAGUAACACGUGAGUAACCUGCCCUUGACUUUGGGAUAACUUCAGGAAACUGGGGCUCAUACCGGAUAGGAGCUCCUGCUGCAUGGUGGGGGUUGGAAAGUUUCGGCGGUUGGGGAUGGACUCGCGGCUUAUCAGCUUGUUGGUGGGGUAGUGGCUUACCAAGGCUUUGACGGGUAGCCGGCCUGGGAGGGUGACCGGCCACAUUGGGACUGAGAUACGGCCCAGACUGCUACGGGAGGCAGCAGUGGGAAAUAUUGCACAAUGGGCGGACGCCUGAUGCAGCAACGCCGCGUGCGGGAUGACGGCCUUCGGGUUGUAAACCGCUUUCGACUGUGACGAAGCGUGAGUGACGGUAAUGGGUAAAGAAGCACCGGCUAACUACGUG
rnacentral:rRNA from 1 species